rnacentral:rRNA from 1 species
UUUUAAUAGAUAUUAUUAUUAAUAAAAUCUGCUCAAUGAAAUUUUCAAUAGCCGCAACUAUGUUGUGCUAAGGUAGCAUAAUCAUUUGUCUUUUAAUUAAAGACUAGAACGAAAGAUUUAACAUUUUCAUUUCUAUCUAAAACAUAUUCUUUUAAAACUAUCUUAAAUAUAAAAAGAUAUUUAUAUAAAAAAAAGACGAUAAGACCCUAUUGAACUUAACUGAAGUUUAACUGGGGCAGUUAAUUAAKUAAAAUUUUAAUUUCAUUAAUAAUUAAACAAACCUAAUAUAAUUAAAUUUUAAUCAAGUUACCAUAGGGAUAACAGCGUAAUAAUUUUCUUAAGAUCUUAUUUAAAAAAUAGUUUGCGACCUCGAUGUUGAAUAAUAACCUAAUAAAUGCAAAAAUUUAAUAAAGGAAGUCUGUUCGACUUUUAAUUAAUUAC